UACGUACGGCGCAAGCGUUGUCCGGAAUUAUUGGGCGUAAAGAGCUCGUAGGCGGUUUGUCGCGUCUGGUGUGAAAACUCAAGGCUCAACCUUGAGCUUGCAUCGGGUACGGGCAGACUAGAGUGUGGUAAGGGUGACUGGAAUUCCUGGUGUAGCGGUGGAAUGCGCACAUAUCAGGAGGAACACCGAUGGCGAAGGCAGGUCACUGGGCCACUACUGACGCUGAGGAGCGAAAGCAUGGGGAGCGAACAGG
rnacentral:rRNA from 1 species